rnacentral:lncRNA from 1 species
CUGAAAGGGCAGUGAGGCUGUUUCCAAUCGACCCUCGGCGCAUAGGAAUAAAUGAAAAGCAGCAUUAGAACAAAACAAAAACAAAAACAAAAACAAAGGCAAAAUUAGAAACAAAAACAAGACAAAACAAAACAAUAAAGAAUUAGUAAAUCCCGCAGAAAUAACGUAAAUAAUUAUGUAAACAUAAGAAAAAGACAAAAUUAGAAACAAAAACAAGACAAAACAAAACAAUAAAACAUUAGUAAAUCCCGCAGAAAUAACGUAAAUAAUUAUGUAAACAUAGGGAACAUAAAUACCAUCGCAUGCAAUAAUAACAAACAACCAUUAAACCCAAAGCGGACAGAAAAUGUUAAUCCGUCAGAUAUCAGACCUUUUGUGGCUCAUCGUUGUCAGGUUCCA